CAAACCAAAGCUGGCGACCGGCGCACGGGUGAGUAACACGUAUCCAACCUGCCUCAUACUCGGGGAUAGCCUUUCGAAAGAAAGAUUAAUAUCCGAUAGCAUACAUUCCCCGCAUGGGUUUUAUAUUAAAGAAAUUCGGUAUGAGAUGGGGAUGCGUUCCAUUAGUUUGUUGGGGGGGUAACGGCCCACCAAGACUACGAUGGAUAGGGGUUCUGAGAGGAAGGUCCCCCACAUUGGAACUGAGACACGGUCCAA
rnacentral:rRNA from 1 species